GUCCAAUCUGCCCCAAACUUCACAUGUUUGAGAAGACUCCUGACCUGAAUAUAUCUACAUGCCAAUAUUCAGAUAUCGCUAUAGCGCCACCUGCUGGCAACAGGAAGUGACAUGUUUUACGCUGUAACAAACUACUCCUAGAUAUUUUAUGACAUUUUAUAAUUUUUUUUGGUCAGUCUAAUCUAAAGGCCUUUGCGAUGUUAAAUUGUGAACAUCUUGAGGUUUCAUUAAAGGGUGUGGCCAUGGCGCCGUGACAAAGUUCGAUGUCUCGCCAUGGGAAUAGAAGUUAUUGUAACUCAGGCAUAAGAUGUCCGAUCUUCCCCAAACUUCACAUGUUCGAAAAGAGUCUUGGCCUGAACACAUCUGAAGGUCAAUAUUCCACUAUAAUCAUAGCGCCACCUGCUGGCAACAGGAAAUGGCUUGUUUUACACUAACUUAAACAUGCAAUGUCCAAUC
ensembl:lncRNA